GUUAAAUACGACGUUUUUCAAUUUAAAAAAUGAUUCUCGGAACUCCUCUUAAAUUUCAUUGCAUAAAAUGUAAAAGGAGAUCUGGGAACCAGAUUUUUCUGAAACCUUUCUUUUUUCUGAGACCUUAUUGCACAUCCGUGAAAAGUAAAGAUAACGAACAGUGAUUAAUCUCAUAACUCCUAUAAGCAAUAAAAAAUAGAGAAUUGGGCAAACACGGACCUCUGGGUACACCAAAGGUGGGAUCAGGUGCCUAGGAGGAGUAAGCAUCCCCUGUCGACUGGUCACACCCGCCGUGAGCCCUAUAUCUUGAUCAGGUAAACGGAGUUAUCCGUAGUCAAAAUCAGUGUGCCGAGAACGGCCUAACAAUCAGAGUGAAACUAUAAUUAUCUUCCCAAAGAUGAUUUGGCUACUGUGUAAAAUGUAAGAGUAGUUCUGGAAACCAGGUUUUUGUAGAAAAACAUCGUUUUUUACUCCCAUUUUGCCCCCAGAAUAAAAUUGAAAGUUCCAAAACCUUAUUGUACAUCUACAGGACACCACCAAUCAUAUUCCAAAAGACUAAUUGGUCACUGUUUAAAAUAAAAGAGGAGAUUUAGGAAUAAGAAAGGGUGACAGACGGACGGGACCACGGUAGUAACAAUAUACCCGAACUAUCUCUAGAAAGUGCAGAAAAGGACAGAUUUCAUACAGCUAUCCUUCCAUGUCAUGUGCCAUAAGAUAGGGAUCGUCCUUGCUCCUACGAUCUCUGUGCUGACAGAAACUUGUAUUACAUUUUUUUUUAAAGAUUUAAGCCUCGCCAAAAAAAAAGAAAAGAAUUAUUUCCGUUAUGCCCUACAGCACACUUUAAUAACACACAGUGUACGUGACGGUUGUUCUAUGUGUAUCUGCAUGUUUAUUUUAAAACAUCGUAUUUGUGGAUUUAAAGUCACCUUGAAUGAACAGCACGUUCACGGUUCUUUAAAACUGCAUUGUCAGUAGCACUUGGUCUCCUGGCUAUCCAUUGCUUAUUUACUGAUAAAUAAAAAAAGAAAUCUUGAGAAAAACGUAAUUUCAAAACAUAUGAUAUUCAAUUCAGAUUUUUGGUUGAAAAAAUAUAUCGUAUCUCGUUAGAACUGAACUCAGCAGUACUAUAAGUAAUUUUUUUUUUAAAUUUGUAACCGCAGUAAGAAAGACAGGAACCCUAUACGACACGAGUAAAUUUUCAUUGGUAAAUCGUACAGUUAUUGCGAAGGAGAAAACGUGAUUUCCUUAAGAUAUUAAGGACAGGUUGAAAAUUUAAUAGGGGGAUACUAACUCACGUCCACCAAAAUCCGCCAAUGAUAAGCACGCCAAAUGGACCUGAAACUAGAAUGAAAACUUAUGAAAAUCACAUACAGAAUCAUCUGUGAUAAUUUGUUAUCAGUAUUUGUUUUUCAUCUGUGAUAAUUUGUUAUCAGUAUUUGUUUUUCAUCUGUGAUAAUUUGUUAUCAGUAUUUGUUUUUCAUCUGUGAUAAUUUGUUAUCAGUAUUUGUUUUUAAAAGAUUGACUUUCUUUCGCUUUUAUGGGCAGAUAAAUGAAUCACACUUGAAUUUCUAAACAUCUGCAUUUAUAACGUGUUAAUAGUUUUUUUCUUCAAAUAAAUCGUUAAAAUGUGAAUUGUCAAAUAAUAUAAUAAGUUAUGUGUGAUAAUUUAUGCUUAUAUAAAUCCUGGAUAUCAUAUGACCUUACAUGUACUAUUUAGAUUUAUGUGUAUUGGUUAUAAAACCAUGUUAAUUGCUGUCUACCAAAAUUGUGAAAUUCCCCAACCUUGGGCCAGGAAGGGGUUUUAGGGCACACCCAAAUGAAUUUAUAAUGAAAACGCAUUUAUUCUGUAAAAACCAUCGUCUUCUUUGCUUCUGUGUAGCGUUCAUUGAUACUCUACGCAUAGUUAUGAAGAGCAGGUAGCCCUCUACCAAAAUUGUGAAAUUACAUACCUUUGCGUCAGGGGUUAGUCUCUUGGACAGAGCUAAACAGGUAAAAGACUGAUGCUAUAUAGUAAAAUCAUCCACUGUGGACUACUUACUGAUAUUCUG